AACUGAAGAGUUUGAUCAUGGCUCAGAUUGAACGCUGGCGGCAGGCUUAACACAUGCAAGUCGAGCGGGGGAAGGUAGCUUGCUACCGGACCUAGCGGCGGACGGGUGAGUAAUGCUUAGGAAUCUGCCUAUUAGUGGGGGACAACAUCUCGAAAGGGAUGCUAAUACCGCAUACGUCCUACGGGAGAAAGCAGGGGAUCUUCGGACCUUGCGCUAAUAGAUGAGCCUAAGUCGGAUUAGCUAGUUGGUGGGGUAAAGGCCUACCAAGGCGACGAUCUGUAGCGGGUCUGAG
rnacentral:rRNA from 1 species